GUCACUGAGUGGUGCGCUGUCCCGCAGGGGUGCACUGUCCCGCAGCGGUGCACUGUUGCGCAGUGGUGCACUGUCAUGCAGGGGUGCACUGUUGCGCAGUGGUGCACUGUCAUGCAGGGGUGUACUGUCGCUCAGUGGUGCACUGUCGCACAGGGGUGCACUGUCGUGCAGGGGUGCACUGUCCCGCAGGGGUGCACUGUCACUCAGUGGUGCACUGUCAUGCAGGGGUGCACUGUCGCUCAGUGGUGCACUGUCCAGCAGGGGUGCACUGUCACUCAAUGGUGCACUGUCCAGCAGGGGUGCACUGUCACACAGUGGUGCACUGUGGUGCAGUGGCGCACUGUCUGCAUGGGUGCACUGUCACGCAGGGGUGCACUGUCCCGCAGUGGUGCACUGUCGUGUAGGGGUGCACCGUCCCCCAGGUGUGCACUGCCCCACAGGGGUGCACCAUUCCACAGUGGUGCACUGUCCCGCAGGGGUGCACCAUCCCGCAGUGGUGCACUGUCACAGUGUCCCCCACCCCAGGCUGCUCUGCACAAGAGGGAGAAACAGCUGCUUCCACCCUGCCAAGCACAGCAGUGGGGCAGGCCCCAUGCCAGGCAUCUUCCCAGAUGCAGUGUCAGGUGACACGUCCUCAUGACGGUCCUGGAAAGCUGUCAUGAUUCCUACCCUGAGUUUACAGAUGAAGAAACUGCAGCUGAGAGAGGCAUAGAGCACCCACAGCCCUGUGGCUCCCAGCAGGCAGAGACUGCCCUGAGCCACCCUAGGGAGAGCAGGCCCGUAUGCUAAGGGCUCUCCACUUGCCUCUCAGCAUCCGCUCUCCAGCCUCCUCUCCCUGUGCGCCCCGAGGCUGGCCCCUCCUACCCCGCAUCCCUCAGCUCUCUGUCCUCCGGCAUCCCACUGGGCUCUUGGGUUUGGCCAACAGAGGCAGCAGCAGAAGGUCAGAGGACGGGAGAGAGAAGUGAGAGUGUCUGCCCCCCCAGCGGCCUCCUGGCUGUCCCCCACUGCAGGCCACGGUCCUGUGGGGCAGCCCUCUCCUCUGGCUCCUGGGAGCCACCACCUCCCCCUGUCCUUCCAGGCAGGCACUCUCAGCUUCCCACUCUGCGUUGCAUCCCUGCACUCAUGCUCCUCAGUCCCCAGGAGUGGGACGCGGCUGACACACUUGGCUCCACUGACGAAGGCUGUACCCGGAGCUGAUGGUCAGAGAGACCGAACCGCGCUGUCCAGCCGCUGUGCAGCGUGGAGCCAGGAAAGGUCCAGGCGAGGGUGAGGCAGAGGGAGCUCUGAUUUGCAGCUGAGACCUCUUAGAUCAGCACGCCGGGUGUUUCUUCCUCUUUCUAUGUCACCGUCCCCAGGGAUCCGUCUGUCGCUAAACCUCUGGCUCUUUUAUUCCCUGUUCCCCCUCUCUGGGUUUGCCCCAGUUUCCAGUUUCUGUCUGCCUGGGUGUCUGUCUCGUAUUUUGUCAUUUCUACCUCUCAGUGUCAUCCCUUUCUUGGUGCCUUUCUGGCUCCUGCCUCUGUAUGUCUGUCUGUCUGUCCCUCCCUCCAUGCCUGUCUCUACCCCUUUGUGUGUGUCCGUCUGCCGCUGUCUUUACCCCUUUAACCUCUCCCUGUUUCUGCCUUUCUGCCCCUGUCUUGUCCUGUCUCUUCCUUCCCCUCUGGCUUUCUCUCUCCUGCCCUUGGCCUGCCCCUGCCCCUGGCUUUCUUUGUGGCCUGGGCAGAAGCUAUUGUCCCAACAGGGUCCCAACGGGAAACCAAACUGGCCCCCAAUUGGUUCAAAUGAAGAGACUUAACGAACGGCAUGCUUCUAGAGUUAAGGGAGGAGCUAGGGGAGUUGGAGCACCUCUGGACUAACCCUGCAGGCGGCCAUGGCCACCCCGAGGGCGCGAGGCAGUGACGUGCUGUGCACAUCCAGGGAUGGCUGAGCCCCGGACCAGGGGCCGCCCUGCGGGAGCCACGGUCAGAGGUGCGGCUGCGGCAGAGACCGGCUGAGUCUCUCCUCCCACCCUCCCGCCCCAGCUGGCUAUUCCCACUAGCUAGACCCAACAGUGGGCCAGAGGGCUCAGCCUCCCUGGGCACACGGCCGAGUAGAGAAGGGUGAGGAGCAGCCUGGGCUGGGUGUGAGCAAGGAGCAGGACAGCCAGCACAUCGAGCGCCUUCUCAGAGUCCUGGCUGAGCAGACCCUUUGGUCGUCAGCCUCCAGGGCAGGCUCCCAAGCCCCUCCUAAGCCCUCCGGAGAGCCAGUGUCUGAGGAGCUAAGGUAGGAGGUCUCAGCCCUGCUCUUUACUGUCAAGGCCAUAUCUUUCUCAAAGCUCAAGUAAGAGGAUGCUGCUGCCCUGUCCCCUCUGCUCCCAGGAAAUCACUGCUUUGCUAAAAAUUCCAAUAUAUCUGAAGCUGAGAGUUGAGUGAGUAGAUUCACAAAGUCCUCAGAAUUUCAGGCGCCUUCCAUUCUUUCGCUUUUCCUCCAUACGUGGCUUCUACCUACCUCAUGAUCCAAGAGGACUGCUCAAGCUCCAGCCAUCACACCUACAUUCUAGUCAGCAGUAUAAAAAGAACCUUGAAGGAUUCUCCUUCCAUGUAAGGUUUCCUGGGAGCCCUACAUGCUGCCAUUGACAUAUCAUGGCCCUGCCAAGCCCCAGAGGAGAUUGCGAACCAUAGUCUUUAUUCUGAGUGGGAAAAAUGCACAACAAAAGAAUUGGUGAUUCUAUUACUAAGGAAAAGGAUGAGAAUGAAUGUUAAGGUCAACUCCUAGCAGUUCUGCCACGACUGGAAUGUUUGGUACUGCAGGAUCUGGGGUGUCUAGGAAGCAGGGAGAGAGGGUAAGUGUAGCAAAGUGUUUAAGGGCAAAGGAAGGAACACAGCUCAAGCUCUCACCCCCGACUCUCUUCCCUCGGGGAGCCUCUCCCAGGAAGUCUUCCCAGCAGCUUGCUGGAGUGAGCUUUGCUUCCUGCUGCCACACUUGCAGCCACAGCACUCAGUCAUGACACACUCUGCCGAAGCUUCGGUGUCCUCCUGGCUCGUCUCCACCCUGUCAGCCAGUCCCGCUUGGUCGAAUCCAUCCUCCUCUCCCCACUUUGUCCGCCACCACCCUAGGGCAGUCCCUCUGGCUGGCAGCCUGACCCCCAACCAGCCUCCGCUGGUCCCCAGCUCUCACCUUUAUCCUGGCCCAUCCCUUCUUCAUGCAGCUGAAAAGACAGCCUUUGUGUCACUCUUCUCUUCCCCGUGACCCCCAGCUGCACUUGCAAAAACUCGCCAGGGCCGACGGCAUCCCGCGUAUGCAGAGGGCCUCUCCUCCGUCUUUCCCAUCCUCCUGCGUUCCCUGCAGUCUUUGCCUCGCCAGGGGUGUGUGUGUGUGUGUGUGUGUGUGUGUGUGUGUUUUGGUUUGCUUUUUCUUUUUUCAGUUCUGCAAACAAGCCGAGAUCUUUCCUGCCCCUCCUGCCUAUCACGCUGUCCCCACCCCUUUCUCAUCCUGUGGGGUUCAGCCUGCACUCCUCCUCCUGGGUGGCCACCCAGCCCAGCCCUUUGCCAAUUUUCUCCCUUUUGCUCAGAGUUUCUCACCAUGAUUUUGCUGUGGCUUCAUGUGUCCUUUGACUUUCUUUUUGUCUGUGUCGCUCCACUAAAACGUUAGCACCCCGAGGGCAGGAAAUAUGGCAUCUGCUCGGCACAGUGGUCCAGCAAGGGCCAUGGCCCAUAGAAGGUGUUCAAAUAAAUCAAUAAUGAAUCCUUCUCUAGCCCCCAUCAUGCCCAACUCACUGCCAAGAAAACCUCUCAGUAAAGAUGCUGUUGACCGUUUGCUUAGCAUCUAAGCCAUCCCUGCACACAUCCUGAGUUUUAUGGAGGACCCAGCGCUGGGAUUUCUUUGAGCUUGCUCUAGGAGACCUCCCACCCAGCUAUCUCUGCCUCCUCUGUCCCUUCUGCUCUCCCGGUGCAAAUACAGGCACUCACUCACCAACAAGCCUGGGAUCCAGCACCGUUCUUAAAGCACCUACUCCGUGCUGGGCACAGCUUGUCCUCACAACCAACUCCAGAAGACAGGUGAGCAAAAGGCGAGGUUCUAGUCCAAGCAAGAAACCAUGGCCCAGAGAGACUAAAUAAUUUGCCCAAGAGCACACUAGUAAGUGGGUUCAAAUCCAAGGCAGUGGGAUCCACUUGACCUCCACCGGGCUACCAGGCGGGCUGCAAGAAGGCUCUGCACCCCACCUCCCUGCAGCAUGCCCACCCGCCCUGACACCCUUCUUGCUCUUCAGCCUGAGGGUUCUGCCAGGAGCAGGAAGUCAGGUGACAGAAAGCCAAAGUGAUGUGCCAGGGUGGAUGUGGAUUUGGUCUUGGGCUGGGACAGAGCUCCGGCUCCCAGCAGGGGGGUGGUGAAAGGAGAAGAUGCAGGAGGGAUUGAUGGGGAGGUGUGACCACCCCAAUCCUGAAUGCCUCUGCUUCCUUUCCUUGCCUAUUACAUGGCUAAGCUUGCAAGGUUUGACAUUUUCCCUGAGAGCAGAGAAGGAAGGUAGCCACUCCCUGCAUCCCUCUCGCAGCCCACCUGGCAGGGCACCCUAGGGCUGAGGGAUGGGAGGAGAGGCAGGAAGAGGAGGAGUGGGUCACUAUGGGAAGGGGGGACAUCAGUGCCCCCACAGACAAAUGGGGGCUUGCCCAGGGAGGCAGUUCUGUCGGGCUUUGGGAGAGAAAGUGAGGAGAGAGGAGUCCCAAAGCCAGGGAGGAGGGGAGCAGGGAGGUGUGGCGAGUGCCAGUCAAGAAGCCCUGGGUGGGGCAGGCACUCUUCUGAGGGAUCCAGGGAGAGCCCCUCCUGGGAGGGAGAACUGUUACAAGUGGCACCCCUCUCCUCACCCCCAGAGUCUGGCCCUGUCCUCCUACCUCACCCCUGCCCAGCCCAGCCUGGGAAGGGGAGAGGGAAAGGCCCUGUCCCCAGGAUACCCUUUGUACUGCUGGCUUUUUGCUUUUUGCAGUGGAGCAGGCCCCUCUCCGAUCCCAGCUCCAGCUCUCAGGCCCAGUUGGAAUUCACCCCUCUCCCUGGGCCCCAGGCCUGUAGGGCUGGGACAGGAGGAGGGGAGGGGGUGGGGAGGUGUGGGGCCCCCCACAUGGGCCACCCUAAGGGUGGGCUAGGGCUGGCAACAGACUCUGACCCAAACUCAGACCCUGGCCCCAGCCCCGCCUGGCAGAGGAAUACUGAAAACUGAGCACAGGUCAAUGGGCAAGGUCAGGCUGGUCCCUGGCAUCCCUGAGUGCCUUCCGGAUGCCAGGCCCCUCCCCUGCCCGUGUGGGCCUUCCACCCCACCCCAACUCUCACUGUGUUCCGGGCCGGCACUGGGGAGAGGCCACCAUCUUUCAGCUCAGAAAACCUUGCUUCUCAGGAGCUGUGUGGGCUUGGGCAAGUUGCUUAACCUCUCAGAGCCUCCGUUUCCCCAUCUCUAAAAUGCCAUCUUUAAAAAUCAUCUUCCUAGGAGCCAAACAGACCUCAUGGUGUGUUAGUGAGGACCCGGGGACAGGACGCCUGAGAAGCCAAAAGCAUCUCACGCAGCUCUUUUCCAGGCCAGGCAGCCCAAGUGAGCUUCCUGGAGGAGGUGGCGGUGGGAGCUGAGGGGCCGGCAGGGGUCGCUAUCACCACCGCACUCCUUCCCUUCUCUCUGCUGCUCCCGCUCCUUUCUCUCCCCGAGAGCUGAUGCAGUUAAUUGGAGCGUCUUGAAAGUGCACAUUAACACGCAGAGAGCCAAGGAGACGUCUUGGCAGCGAAAUAUCAUUAUCACUUCUUGAGCUCCAGCCAAAAUCCCCUCGCGGUCAAAACACAAUUCUUUAAACUAAACAAUUAAAGAUU